UGGGGCUCUAUGGGGUCUCUAUGGUUCUCUAUGGGUCUGUAUGGGGUCCCUAUGGGUCUCUAUGGGGUUUCUAUGGGGUCUCUAUGUGUCUCUAUGUGUCUCUAUGGGUUCCUAUGGGUCUCUGUGGGUCUCUAUGGGGUCUCUAUGUGUCGCUAUGGGUCUCUGUGGGGUCUCUAUGGGUCCCUAUGGGUCCCUAUGGAUCUCUAUGGGGUCUCUAUGUGUCGCUAUGGGUCUCUGUGGGGUCUCUGUGGGGUCUCUAUGGGUCCCUAUGGAUCUCUAUGGGGUCUCUAUGUGUCGCUAUUGGUCUCUGUGGGGUCUCUAUGGGUCCCUAUGGGUCCCUAUGGGUCCCUAUGUGUCUCUAUGUGUCUCUAUGGGUCUCUAUGGGUCUCUAUGGGUCCCUAUGGGUCCCUAUGGGGUAUCUAUGUGUCUCUAUGGGUCCCUAUGUGUCUCUAUGGGGUUUCUAUAGGUCCCUAUGGGUCUCUAUGGGGUUUCUAUAGGUCUCCAUGUGUCCCUAUGUGUCUCUGGUUUCUCUAUGGUACCUCCGUAUCUCCCCAUAUUCCCCCCCCCUGCAGUUCCCCUCCCGGCCGCCAGGUGUCGCUGCCCGCUCACAGUGCACGACGAGGCGCACGGCGGCGCUGCCGCUCCCCUCGCUGUUGCUGCAGCUCAGGCCGUAGAGCCCCGCGUCCCCCCGCGUCGCGUUGGCCACCAGCAGCGCCGUCCCGCGCAGCCGCAGGCGAGCGCCCUCUGCUGGUGGGACGGGGAAUUGACUCUACGGACCAGUAUGGACCAGUAUGGACCAGUAUGGACCAGUAUGGGGAUGUAUAGGUUAGUAUGGACCAGUAUGGGGCAGUAUGGACCAGUAUGGACCAGUACAGAUCAAUAUGGGAAUGUAUAGCUUAGAAUGGACCAGUAUGAACCAGUAUGGACCAGUAUGGACCAGUAUGGACCAGUACAGACCAGUGUGGGGAUGUAUAGGUUAGUAUGGACCAGUACAGACCAGUACAGACCAGUAUGGGUCAAUAUAGGUUAGUAUGGACCAGUACAGGGCUGUAUGGGCCAGUGUGGUUCAUUAUGGGCCGGUAUGGACCAGUGUGGCCCAGUAUAGACCAGUACGGACCAGUACAGACCAAUAUGGGUGGGUACGGAUCAGUGCUGGUCAAUAUGGGUUUGUAUGGGGCAGGAUGGGUCUGUAUGGACCCUCCCAGUCCGUCCCAGUCCGUCCCAGUCCCCCCAUAUCCCCCCAUAUCCCCCCAUGCCCCCUCCCAG
rnacentral:lncRNA from 1 species